GAGACCCACGCCCACAGUUGCCAGCGUACUCUCUGGAGUGACGGGUACACUGUGGGGACCGCCGCUGCUAAAGCGGAGGAAGGUGCGGGCUACGGUAGGUCAGUAUGCCCCGAAUCAUCCGGGCUACACGCGGGCUACAAUGGUUGGGACAAUGGGCACCUACACCGAAAGGUGAUGGUAAUCUCCUAAACCCAGCCCUAGUUCGGAUUGAGGGCUGCAACUCGCCCUCAUGAAGCCGGAAUCCGUAGUAAUCGCGUAUCAAUAUCACGCGGUGAAUAC
rnacentral:rRNA from 1 species